CCCAGAACCGCUGUCCUCACAGAUUCCCAUGACAUCUGGAUUCACGCAUCCCGAGUGAAGCUGUGUCCAAAGAGGGGAACCAAGGAAGACAGCACCACUCCUCGCUCGGAAACAGAAGAAUUUCUCAGCGAAGCAUCAUGGCUUUUACACCAUAUCGUAGAUUGAGAGGAUCAUACGUACCUGAGACCAAGAUUAUGUUGUGCGCUAUGCUUUCUGGAGUUGUUAUACUCCCUCUGAUAUUGUUCCUUGAAUGCCAUUAUGAGUACAAGUCAAUGGCAAGUUUGAAACCUGUUUGUUUCUGGAAAAAGACUCUGACAUGAUGAACAAUUCUUCAAUACCCCCAGCCCAAUUAGGCCUUAGCCCCUCAUCUAGCAUUCGUCACACACGCCCCCUCAAGAACCUUUCUCCACCACCUUUCUAUCAGCAUGUAAUAUGCAAUCAUUCAUUCACUGAACGCAUUUGGAUGAAUUGGACAAAUAGUAACCCUUAUAAGUACCAGUUACCCAUAUGAAAUGUGUCCACAGCUAAUGAAACCGAUGCAUUAUGUUUGUUUGAAGGUUCACAGAAAAUUGUUAGAUCUUAUAACGCAGAAAUGUGCACAGUUAAGGUUGCAUAUCAAUGUAAACAGACAGGCCUUAUUACUUUUAAUAAUGAUUAUAUAACUGGUAUCAUUAAUUGGAGAAGGGGACAAAUGUUAGUCAUUAU
rnacentral:lncRNA from 1 species